UACGUAGGGGGCAAGCGUUGUCCGGAUUUAUUGGGCGUAAAGAGCGUGUAGGCGGCCAUGCAGGUCCGCUGUGAAAACUCGAGGCUCAUCCUCGAGACGUCGGUGGAAACCGCAUGGCUAGAGUCCGGAAGAGGAGAGUGGAAUUCCCGGUGUAGCGGUGAAAUGCGCAGAUAUCGGGAAGAACACCCGUGGCGAAGGCGGCUCUCUGGGACGGUACUGACGCUGAGGAGCGAAAGCGUGGGGAGCGAACAGG
rnacentral:rRNA from 1 species